rnacentral:rRNA from 1 species
UACGGGGGGGCAAGCGUUGUUCGGAAUUACUGGGCGUAAAGGGCUCGUAGGCGGCCAACUAAGUCGGACGUGAAAUCCCUCGGCUUAACCGGGGAACUGCGUCCGAUACUGGAUGGCUUGAGUUCGGGAGAGGGAUGCGGAAUUCCAGGUGUAGCGGUGAAAUGCGUAGAUAUCUGGAGGAACACCGGUGGCGAAGGCGGCAUCCUGGACCGGCAUUGACGCUGAGGAGCGAAAGCCAGGGGAGCAAAGCGGGG